CAGCAGCCACGGUAAUACAGAGGGUGCGAGCGUUAAUCGGAUUUACUGGGCGUAAAGCGUGCGUAGGCGGCUUUUUAAGUCGGAUGUGAAAUCCCUGAGCUUAACUUAGGAAUUGCAUUCGAUACUGGGAAGCUAGAGUAUGGGAGAGGAUGGUAGAAUUCCAGGUGUAGCGGUGAAAUGCGUAGAGAUCUGGAGGAAUACCGAUGGCGAAGUCAGCCAUCUGGCCUAAUACUGACGCUGAGGUACGAAAGCAUGGGGAGCAAACAGGAUUAGAGACCCCCGUAGUCCCUGUCUCUUAUAC
rnacentral:rRNA from 1 species